UACGAAGGGGACUAGCGUUGUUCGGAAUCACUGGGCGUAAAGCGCACGUAGGCGGAUAUGUCCAGUCAGGGGUGAAAUCCUGGAGCUCAACUCCAGAACUGCCUUUGAUACUGGAGAGCUCGAGUCCGGAAGAGGUGAGUGGAACUGCGAGUGUAGAGGUGAAAGUUCGAUAGAUAUUCGGAAGAACACCAGUGGCGAAGGCGACUCGCUGGACAAGUAGUUGACGCUGAGGUGCGAAAGCGUGGGGAGCAACAGGG
rnacentral:rRNA from 1 species